GAGGGCGCAGCUCAGCGGCGGAGCACCUGCUUAGCACGCACGAGGCCCUGGGUUCAGUCCCCAGCACCUCCA
rfam:Camelus ferus unplaced genomic scaffold scaffold279, whole genome shotgun sequence.